GUGUCAGCAGCCGCGGUAAUACGUAGGCAGCAAGCGUUGUUCGGAAUUACUGGGCGUAAAGAGUGCGUAGGUGGUUGACUAAGUUUGGUGUGAAAUCUCCCGGCUUAACUGGGAGGGUGCGCCGAAAACUGGUUGGCUAGAGUGUGGGAGAGGGAAGCGGAAUUCCAGGUGUAGCGGUGAAAUGCGUAGAUAUCUGGAGGAACGCCUGCGGUGUAGACGGCUUCCUGGACCAUGACUGACACUGAGGCACGAAAGCGUGGGUAGCAAACAGGAUUAGAUACCCCUGUAGUCC
rnacentral:rRNA from 1 species